rnacentral:rRNA from 1 species
UACGUAGGGUGCGAGCGUUGUCCGGAAUUAUUGGGCGUAAAGAGCUUGUAGGCGGUUUGUCGCGUCUGCCGUGAAAAUUCGAGGCUCAACCUCGAACUUGCGGUGGGUACGGGCAGACUAGAGUGUGGUAGGGGGAGAUCGGAAUUCCUGGUGUAGCGGUGAAAUGCGCAGAUAUCAGGAGGAACACCGGUGGCGAAGGCGGAUCUCUGGGCCAUUACUGACGCUGAGGAGCGAAAGCGUGGGGAGCGAACAGG